rnacentral:rRNA from 1 species
GCGGACGGGUGAGUACACGUGGAUAACUACUAUAAGACUGGGAUAACUUCGGGAAACGGAGCUCAAUACCGGCUAAUAUUUUGAACCGCAUGGUUCCAAAGUGAAAGCCGGUCUUGCUGUCACUUAUAGAUGGAUCCGCGCUGCAUUAGCUACGUUGGUCAGGUAACGGCUUACCAAGGCAACGCUGCAUAGCCGAACUGAGAGGGUGAUCGGCCACACUGGAACUGCGACACGGUCCAGACUCCUACGGGAGGCAGCAGUAGGGAAUCUUCCGCAAUGGGCGAAAGCCUAGACGGAGCAACGCCGCGUGAGUGAUGAAGGUCUUCGGAUCGUAAAACUCUGUUAUUAGGGGAAGAACAUAUGUGUAAGUAACUGUGCACAUCUUGACGGUACCUAAUCAGAAAGCCACGGCUAACUACGUGCCAGCAGCCGCGGUAAUACGUAGGUGGCAAGCGUUAUCCGGAAUUAUUGGGCGUAAAGCGCGCGUAGGCGGUUUUUUAAGUCUGAUGUGAAAGCCCACGGCUCAACCGUGGAGGGUCAUUGGAAACUGGAAAACUUGAGUGCAGAAGAGGAAAGUGGAAUUCCAUGUGUAGCGGUGAAAUGCGCAGAGAUAUGGAGGAACACCAGUGGCGAAGGCGACUUUCUGGUCUGUAACUGACGCUGAUGUGCGAAAGCGUGGGGAUCAAACAGGAUUAGAUACCCUGGUAGUCCACGCCGUAAACGAUGAGUGCUAAGUGUUAGGGGGUUUCCGCCCCUUAGUGCUGCAGCUAACGCAUUAAGCACUCCGCCUGGGGAGUACGACCGCAAGGUUGAAACUCAAAGGAAUUGACGGGGACCCGCACAAGCGGUGGAGCAUGUGGUUUAAUUCGAAGCAACGCGAAGAACCU